rnacentral:tRNA from 1 species
GGCUCUAUAGUGUAGUGGUUAGCACAUCUGCUUUACACGCAGAAGGUCCUAGGUCCAUGCCCCAGGUGGAGCCA